CGUUUUAGAAACAUCAGUGGCCAACGAUCGUCAGGAUUGUUGAGCUGCAUUGGCGGGAUUUCGCCGUCUUCGUUUCUCUUUCUUCGCGGACGAACACGCGCUGGGGCUGCAGGCUUGCAGAUCCCUGGUCCUUGACUGGAUAUGCGUUAGGGGCUUGUAGCUCAGUUGGUUAGAGCGCGCGCUUGAUAAGCGUGAGGUCGGAAGUUCAAGUCUUCCCAGGCCCACCACUUUCAUCGAGUGAGCAUUCGUCUUCUGGUUACGGGGCCAUAGCUCAGCUGGGAGAGCGCGUGCUUUGCAAGCAUGAGGUCGUCGGUUCGAUCCCGUCUGGCUCCACCAGAUGGUUUGAUCACCGAGAUCUUGUACCGUCGUCCGCGAAACAUCACUUCGCAUCCUGCUAGUCUGGAUAGACAGCAGAUUGCGUGAUUUCUGACAUCGUAAAGAGGAGAUCGAUCCGAGUUGGAUCGUGCAGCAAGCAAUUGCUACGCGAGACUUCAUUAUCUCCGGAUCAUUUCGGCGCUCGUGCGUCUUCCAGGGCAGCUCACAAGGCUGCGUUGAAAGACAAGCGAGUUGUAAAUGAUCCUUUUAGCGAAGCUUGACCGCCUCGCUAUCGGAACGAUCUUACGAAGCAAGCUGGUCUUUCUAAUCAUUGUCCGGCUGCAGAUAGCGUUCAUCGAGGGCGCGUGCCGCAAGGCAAUUCUGCAGACAACAUUCUGCCGAGUGUGUGGACAUUGAUAAUGAGAGCAAUCAAGUGCCUUAAGGGUGUUCGGUGGAUGCCUUGGCGCUGAGAGGCGAUGAAGGACGUGCUACGCUGCGAUAAGC
rnacentral:misc_RNA from 1 species